rnacentral:rRNA from 1 species
GAUGAACGCUGGCGGCGUGCCUAAUACAUGCAAGUCGAGCGAACAGACGAGGAGCUUGCUCCUCUGACGUUAGCGGCGGACGGGUGAGUAACACGUGGAUAACCUACCUAUAAGACUGGGAUAACUUCGGGAAACCGGAGCUAAUACCGGAUAAUAUAUUGAACCGCAUGGUUCAAUAGUGAAAGACGGUUUUGCUGUCACUUAUAGAUGGAUCCGCGCCGCAUUAGCUAGUUGGUAAGGUAACGGCUUACCAAGGCGACGAUGCGUAGCCGACCUGAGAGGGUGGUCGGCCACACUGGAACUGAGACACGGUCCAGACUCCUACGGGAGGCAGCGGUAGGGAAUCUUCCGCAAUGGGCGAAAGCCUGACGGAGCAACGCCGCGUGAGUGAUGAAGGUCUUCGGAUCGUAAAACUCUGUUAUUAGGGAAGAACAAAUGUGUAAGUAACUAUGCACGUCUUGACGGUACCUAAUCAGAAAGCCACGGCUAACUACGUG